rnacentral:rRNA from 1 species
UACGAAGGGGGCUAGCGUUGUUCGGAAUUACUGGGCGUAAAGCGCAUGUAGGCGGCUUUCUAAGUCGGGGGUGAAAUCCCAGAGCUCAACUCUGGAACUGCCUUCGAUACUGGAAGCUCGAGUAUGGGAGAGGUGAGUGGAACUGCGAGUGUAGAGGUGAAAUUCGUAGAUAUUCGCAAGAACACCAGUGGCGAAGGCGGCUCACUGGCCCGGUACUGACGCUGAGGCACGAAAGCGUGGGGAGCAAACAGG